rnacentral:rRNA from 1 species
UACGUAGGUGGCAAGCGUUGUCCGGAUUUACUGGGCGUAAAGCGCGCGCAGGCGGUUCGGUACGUCCGGCGUGAAAGCUCCCGGCUCAACUGGGAGAGGGCGUUGGAUACGGCCGGACUGGAGGGCGGUAGAGGUCGGUGGAAUUCCCGGUGUAGUGGUGAAAUGCGCAGAUAUCGGGAGGAACACCAAUGGCGAAGGCAGCUCGCUGGGACGUUACUGACGCUGAGACGCGAAAGCGUGGGGAGCAAACUGG